rnacentral:rRNA from 1 species
AUGGCCGCCGCCAUCGCUGCCUCGCUUAUCCGCCGCACCACCUCAUCGCCGUACCGCCGCCUUCUCCUCCCCACCUUCUCCCACCUCCACCGCCCUGCCCCCCAACCUCCAUCCCCAUGGCUCCCAUCCCAGCAUCGCUUCCUCUCGUCCGACGCACCCGCCGACCCUGAUCGGAAGCUGCCUCCGCUGGACCCGAAGCAGCUAUGGCGCGAGCUCUCCACCACCGAGCCUGCGACGGGCUCGUCGCGCCUCCCCAAGGCCACGUGGGACGAGGUGGUGGCCCUCACCCGCCGCUUCGCCAAGGAUCCCGCCAUUGCCGACCAGGCCCUCGCGCUCUACAUCCCCUCCUCGGAGUUUCCCACGUAUGCUCGGCACUUCCGCCACUUCAUCCCUGCGCGCCUCUCCCAAGAAUCCGCCGAGCGGCUCCUUUCUCUCCCGGGCGAGGACGCGCACGCCCUCCUCCUCCCGGCCUUCGCCGAGUACUGCCUCAACUACCAUGCGGAUCAGUUGAGGCAGAACAAGUCCGUCAUGGCUGCGGCUGACCUCACGGCGCCGCACACCUGGUACCCCUUCGCCCGCGCCAUGCGCCGGCGGGUGGUGUACCAUUGCGGGCCCACCAACAGCGGCAAGACGCACAACGCACUCGCACGCUUCAGCGCCGCCAAGUCCGGUGUGUACUGCAGCCCGCUCCGGCUCCUCGCCAUGGAGGUGUUCGACAAGGUCAAUGCACUCGGUGUCUACUGCACCCUCCGCACUGGCCAGGAGAUAAAGGAAGUCCCCUUCUCCAACCAUGUUGCUUGCACUAUUGAGAUGCUGUCCACGGAGGAGCUCUACGAAGUCGCCGUGGUUGAUGAGAUACAGAUGAUGGCUGACCCUGUGAGGGGCUAUGCGUGGUCACGUGCUGUUCUUGGGAUCAAGGCAGAUGAGAUACAUCUCUGUGGUGACCCUAGUGUGCUCAAGAUUGUUCGUAAGGUCUGCGCAGAUACUGGUGAUGAUUUGGAGGUGCAUCAGUAUGAGCGGUUCAAGCCACUUGUUGUCGAGGCCAAGCCGCUACUUGGAGACCUCAAGAAUGUUCGCUCUGGUGAUUGCGUUGUUGCCUUCUCACGCAGAGAGAUAUUUGAGGUGAAGCUGGCAAUUGAGAAGUUUACGAAGCACAAGUGUUGCGUCAUAUAUGGAGCUUUGCCACCGGAGACAAGGCGCCAGCAAGCAACAUUGUUCAAUGAACAGGAUAAUGAGUAUGAUGUUCUUGUAGCGAGUGAUGCGGUCGGUAUGGGUCUGAACCUUAACAUUAGGAGGGUUGUGUUCUAUAGCUUGUCCAAGUACAACGGGGACAAGAUGGUACCUGUUGCUGCUUCACAGGUAAAACAGAUAGCUGGGCGUGCUGGUCGGAGGGGAAGUGUUUAUCCAGAUGGACUCACAACCACUUUCUUGUUGGAUGAUUUGGAUUAUUUAAUUCAGUGCCUGCAACAGCCGUUUGAGGAGGCACAAAAAAUUGGUCUUUUUCCUUGCUUCGAACAAGUGGAAAUGUUUGCCAGUCAGUUCCCCAACCUCACUUUCACUGACUUGUUGGAUAAGUUCCGUGACAAUUGCCGCAUCGACAAGACAUACUUCAUGUGCCAGCAGGAUAGUAUCAAGAAGGUUGCUAAUAUGCUCGAGAGGGUACAGGGUCUCUCCCUCAAGGAUCGCUACAAUUUUUGUUUUGCGCCAGUUAAUAUAAGGGAUCCGAAAGCCAUGUACCAUCUUCUGAGAUUUGCUACUCAUUAUAGCCAGAGCCGUCGUGUUAGCAUUGCGAUGGGAAUGCCGAAGGGUUCGGCAAGGAAUGACACUGAACUGCUGGAUCUCGAGACGAAGCACCAGGUCCUGUCGAUGUAUUUGUGGCUGUCACACCAUUUUGAGGAAGAUAACUUUCCUCAUGUGCAGAAAGCUGAGGAAAUGGCAACGAAUAUUGCUGAUUUGCUUGGCAAGUCACUUGCCAAGGCAUCCUGGAAGCCUGAAUCAAGACAACAAGCAAAGCAGAGGCGAGAAGAAAUAGAGGAGAGUGACAGAAAUGCUGAACAGGCGUCAGAUGAUGAUGCAAAGGAUGUUUCCAAAGUUGGUUAUGAAAGGACGAGGUCGCUUCCUAAAACAUUUCAAAGGACAAGACAUGGUCAGCCCAGCCAUAAUUCUUCUUUGAACCUUCUGGCCUGA